GUGUGGGCGGGGUUGAGUUAGCUUAGGGUGCAGUGAAGCUUGGCCUGGGAUUCGGGGAGCUGGCCCUAGACCCGAGGCUCUGUGCGGGCAUCGCAGGCCUCGGUUGAGGGCACUGCAGCGGCGGCGCAGCCGGCGUAUUCACCUCUGUCGGGUUCCUGCGAGCGCCAUCACCCCUCCGCCUUGGAGGCCUCGCCCGGAGGGCACCGAAGGCAGCUGCUGCUCCCUCCUCCCCGCCUCGGCCCCAGGAAGGCCAGCGGUUUUGGGUGAGAGUGGCAAAGGUGCAGGCCGUCCGACCCCUGCUGGUUUCUGUCUUUUGUCCCUGUUUCCCUGGCCAGGGGCGUGGUCCCGGUGGCUCUAAGCACGGAAAAGGAAGAAAGGAAAUUCCAGCCUAUGCUCUGGCUUUUUGCUGCCUACAGUGUAUCAAGCCAGUAGUGUAGGCAAUGAGGCUGACAGCAACAGCAACACCUCCCUCAGUUCUUCCAUGCUUCAAGUUGGGACAGGGCCUUGAACGCUGUCUUCCUGAUCCACACGAACGUUUGAUGAAAGAAUCGGAAGUUGAAAAUGAUUAUUGACAUGUUGCUUACAUUUAAUACAGACCUAGAUCAUUGUGCAUUUCGCAGACAGUGCAAAUAUAAGUUUUGGCAAAGUUUGUGCAAACUGAAAACUUCUUACCACAGAAAAUGAAAAGAUAACACACGCUGAGUUGUAACAGUCUUUCAGUUUGAUAUGGCUGGAGAAUUUUCUGCAACAACUCAGCUCUGCACAUAGACGUGGUAAUUAUCUGAGGAGUGCUCCAUUCACCCUAAAUUUGCCUAAUCUCUGGAUUGCCCUUUUGAGGUUGAAGGCACCAAGGUAAGGGCAACAAAGAUGUUUUCGAGAUACACAGGGACAUCAUAAGCAAUAGAUUUUCACCAGCUUUUGCUACUUCCUGUUCCAGAUCACAUUAACAGCACCUAGAAGUCUCCAGUUUUAGGUAGAUAGUUAAAAACCAACAGGCCUGAGAACAGAGGGUCAAAGCAACAUGGAGUACUAGACACAGGUAAACUAGGACCUCGGGGUAUAAUAUAUUUGAAAUUAACUAUUAGUCUCAGAUUAUAAAAAGGGGGAACAUACACUAUUUCUUUCAGUGUCUACUUUUUAAAUCCUGCACAAUCAAUCGCUGUGUGCCUCUUCUGCAUGUGCCUGGAAGUGCUCUGUGAUGGAAGCCAGCAAGCCUUGUGCCUAUCCCACAGGUGGGGGAUUGUUAUGGAUUAAAACCUGUUGGUCAACUUAGUGCCAGCUGGAUUACAUCAGCAUGGCCCUGAGAGUAGAUGUCCCACCUGAGGAAAGUUGCCAGCAUAAAUAGAGACUGUGGAGAAGGACAAGCUAUUGCAUUGAAGUGUUGAGGCAUUGUGAGUUUUCCUACAAAUUGCUGUUUGAGCCAUUGCUUCCCCUAGAGGAACUCUGGUCCUCACACGGAGCAUUGCUUCCUGGCUCGGAAGGUAAGACAUGUGCCUCCAGGAUGAACUCCUCAUGCUGGCUUCCUGGCUUUUACUCUGAAAGGAUUUUGCCCUAAAUGUGAUGCUCUAGUGGUAGGAGGCGCUGGGAGGUCACCUUCCCCGCCGCUAAGCAAUUUACCUGUGGCACAAAAUGAAUUCCAAUGGGCUACCUGUACAUCAGUAAUGCCCCUUAGGUUCUACUCCAAACUUAAACUACAUGUGUGCCUCCACACCACGUGUCGGGCAGAGAGAAAGCCAAACCCCAGAGGUCAUGGAGUUUCUCUCUGAAUUCUUAAAAUAAAGGCCACUUUUAUCUCAUAUUUCUAUCUUUUUAGCCAUGCCCAAAACUCUUUCAUUUAGUUUCCUGCCUGGGAACGGCAGACAAGUGACUCCUGGGACCCUCCCAGUCUGAGUCCCCUGCCGGUUCACAGACUGGACUGCAUCCUGGAUUAAUUUCUCACUUCUCAACAUGCAGGAGCUGCUAAACUUGUCGCUGCUGGCUUGCAAACAAUACCAGUCUAAUUAAUUUACCGCAGGUGAGUCAAUUCUGUCCAAAGAUUACUCUGUAGUGGGCUGGGCCCCAUGCCAGAUUUUCCUUCCAUUCCCUGGACUUGGGUAAUGCUCUCAUGUCCCUUGGGCAGCCCCAAGGCAGAGCCAUUACUAAUCUGCGGAAAAUCGACUUGUGCCUUUUGGUGAUGAUCAAAAACAUGAGUUUUGGGACCGAUUACUGUAGGUCUAAGAGGCCAGGUGACCACCUGACCUGGUUAGAUCACGGUCUGUUGGCUCACCUGACUGUGAUUGGAUCAUGGGGAUCACUUCCUGUCCCCCAAAAAACAUACCUAUGGGGUGCCUAGUUCAAAAGGGACCAAAAACCAAAAAGCUGAUGUUUUAUUUAUAGUUUAUCACACUGAUGACAAGUUUGCAGAAACUCUCCAUUUGUUUUAAGAAUGUGUCCUUCUCUCCCUCUGCUCCUCCAGGAUCCCUCCCACAUACACUUAGGAGGUGGCUUCUUCCUUUACAGCUUCACCCCUAUAUCUCAUACACCAAAUCUUGCAGCUGUCUCAGCAUCCUCCUUUCCUCCCUGCUUCACCCAUUUCUCAGUCCCUCCCCACCCCACCUGCCUUUUCCCGUGAGCACCGGGAUGAGGGCUGUGUGCCCAGGCAGCAUUGGGCUGUGCACAGGUGGGGCAGGCCAGGCCUGCGCACACCAACCGGGCUGUGCAGGCUGCUCUGGGCUCUCAUGCCACACCCCCUGCCCCCUGCCCCGUGCUCCCUCUCCUGCCCCCCACCAAGAGUCUCUGGAGCAGUCCCAGCCCCCACCCCGCCCCUGAAUGUGAGCUCUGAGCGGCAGCCUGGAGGAGGAGACAAUGGGUUGUGGCAGGAGGAAAAGUGGCCAAUUCUUAUUUCAAGAGAUCUCUAUUAAUCUACAAAAGGGUCCACACCAGCCUUAUUUAAUAUAGUUCAAAUUGGCCAAGUAUAUUUGAGUGCACUCUGAUUUUAUAACAUCUAUCUGUUGUUCCUUCAGUCCGUUUACAGAUCUUCAGUCCAUGUUUGUUCAUUUGCCUGCUCUGUGAACAGCUAUUCCUUUUUGUUUGAGCUCAGCAAUUUUUUUCCUUUUUCAUAUUCUCAAACCAUUUAAUCAAGUUUUAUUUGUGUUAUAGAUUUAAAAAAAUGUUUCCACCUAAUUUGCCAGCUGGUCAAAAUGGUGGUAAAACUGGUUAAAUAAAAUCUCUUGGGGUGAGGAGACAUUGGACAAGACUUCAAUUAAUGAAGAAUGGGAAAGUGGCCACCUGGUAAUUUUACCAGCCUUGUUUAUUGAUCAAAGCCUGCAAUAAUCUCCAUAGCCUAUGGGUGACACCUCAACUAAAGUUCGUAUGAGUAAGACAAUUCAUUGUUGCUGAUCUGAUGGUAUAUUCAACCCUUCAAAUAUAUUGUUUCUGCUGUCUUUUUCUUGUGUUCCAGCCAAAAGAUACAAAUCAGACCUGUUGGGUCUGAUUAGGUCACCAGUCAAAUAAUAAUUUUUAAACAAAAAUUUAUAUAAUGUAUGAUGACAAGUGUUUUCUUUCAGAUCCAGACAUACACUUAGAGAUGCUUCACAAACUUAUUCAGUGUUCAAAUGUUAAAACACUCAUGGUUAAUAGCCAUUUAAUGUUCUAUGUUAAGCUUACUGCCUAUGCUGUACUGUACUGCUAUCAAUCUUCUGGAUGUUCAGCAACUGAAAUUAAGAGAUAAUUAUAAAUUCCUUUUGGAUUCCUUUUGCUGGGAUCCAUCAGAUAUUUUCCAGAAAAAGAUUAUAUGACACAUGCAAAACUACAAGACCAGCACUGGGGCAGAGGCCAGAUUUGAGCCUUUCCCAGCCUGUCUGCCUGCCCUGGCUCAGCCCUCCACCGAGCCAUAAUUAACUAUACUCAACUGGUGUUAAAUGACACCGUAGCUGAUCUCUCUCCUAAAUAAAAAGGUAAAGUUGACAAAACAGGCCAUCCUCCAAAAAUCAGAUAGCAUUAGACAUUCUAACAACAUAAAGAGAUACUUACAUAUGACAAAUAAAUGACAUGUCAGUUCCUAAAAUUCCCUGAACCUUAUCCUCCUUAUGGGAAGCCAUUACUAAAGUUAUGAUCAUAAAUACCCUGUUGAUUGUAUUAUUUGACUCCUGCAUACUUAAUUGACUCUACAGAUACCUUCCAUUGUGGGCCAGAUUCCAAGACAAAAGGCUAAACUUGGCCCUCAAACCCCACAGGGAGAUCUUAAUAUGGCUUUUCACAUUUUCAACAAUAGAGUUAAAAAAAUAACAGUGUGAUCUUUUAGCAGUGACACUUGGAGCUCUGAGACAGGUAAACUGACACAAGGUGGAGCUGCCUGCGCCUCUCCUGGACCAUGCCUCAAAUGCAGCAGAAGGACAUUGGGCAAGAGAGUGCCCCAUCCUGGUGUUCCUUUGGGGCCUUACCCCAGGGCUACUGGACUGUCCAAGCCUCCAGAGUGGGUAAGGCAUCCUAAUUUCUAGCCCUCACUGGAAAUGCCAACACUGCCAGUUUCAUCACUGACAGAUCUGCUUGGACUUGCUGCUGAAGACUGACGGGGCUCAGGGUCCACAGCCCCUAUUAAGGUGUCCUUCUCGGAGUCCCAAGUCCCACUAGAGGUCUCAGGUAAGACUAUACUUUGGGACAUAGAGGCCAUGUAUAGGGUUCUUCCUGAGUUUUCAAGGUGCUAUAUUAAGUCCUCAGUCUCUAUAGGGGGUGUUGAUGGCCAACCUAUGUGCCUUUACAGACAGGGCCUAUUUCAUGCAGGUUCCAGACUCGCUUCUUCUCUGGUCAAUCCCAUAGUUUGAGGUACCUCCAAUCCCACCUGUACUUCCCAUGCCAUGCCUAUUUUAAUUCAUCUCAGAGAUCCUUCAAUUCUUUCUUGUGUUCCCCAAUAUCCCGUAGCUUCCAAACAUUUACAGGGACUUAAAUCUAUAAUUAAGUACCUUUUAGACAAUGGUUUUCUUGAAUCUACACAUUCACCGUAUAAUACUCCCAUUCUCCUGGUACUCAAGACUGAUGCAUCUUACCUUCAAAUACAAGACCUUAAGAUACUCAAUAAUGCUGUUACCCCAACCCACCCAGGGGUGCCAAACCCUUAUACCAUGCUCUCUCAUUUCCCUCCCUCCACCACUCACUUUAAAGUCCUAGAUCUAAAAAUGCCUUUUUAUUCCUUUGUGUUUAUGCAGAUGACCCAGACACUCUGAAGUCUCAACAGCUCACACCUGUUAUCUCUAGUAAACCCUCUCCUCAGGGACACAUAGCACCCCCUUCCUUUCCUAUUCACCAAUUUCUCAGACACAAACCUGGUCAAGACUGACAGAUAAAUUUUAUACACAUGCCCUGCCACAAAACUCUCAAAUAUGUUCUUAACUUUGUUUGUACUUUUUCAGGAUAAAUAAAAGCCUUUUCCACAACAGGGAGACUGCUGAUAUACUUACUAACGUCCUGUUACAUAAAAUCAUUCCAAGGACUACAACCAAGGUGGAGCAGCCCAUACUUGGUUUCUCGGCAACCUCAACAGCGGUCAAAGUUGUUAGACUGCCAUCCUGGUUUCACAUCACUCAGGCUAAGUGGUGCCCUCCCAGCCCUAGAUCUAACCAUCCCUUUGCUCACUCAUCCCCACCUCACCAAGGCCUCACAGCCACAACUCUCUGGCUGUCAUGUUUUGUUAUCCAAUUUGGUUCCUAAUUUCUUACAUUCUAUUAAUUAUCCUUUUUACAGUAGGACUCUCAACUGUCUUUUGUAAAGACUCCUACAUCAUGCAUACCAGAGACAAGUCUUUCCUACCUACCCUCUUAACUUUUACCCUCUCAGCUGGAGGAAUAAUCACCUCUCAUAACUCCACUGCUCCUAACCCCAAUUUAUUUUUCAGAAUUCUACCUCACCAUGGCAAUGAUUCUACCUCAACAUGAUCCUGAUAAAAUGACAUAUCUGAAUCAAAGGCACCUUUUCUUCUACCUCACUUGGGUCCUUAAAUAUGGUAGUGGCCUGCCUCCUCAUAACACCUUAUCUCUUUGUUUUUCCAUCUAAAGUGCAGGCAUUCAUUCAGUGAUAAAGUUGUCCUGGUUAAAACACCUGGCACCAACUUCUACAUGGGCAUCAACUACAUCCCAUUGACCCUCCUAAACCCCAGUACAGUGCCUCCUUUAGCAGGAAGCAGUAAAAGAAAAAAAAAAACUUCGCCCUUUUUCCUAAUAAUAAAAAGAAGGGAAUGAAAGGAUUUUGUCCUAAAUGAGAUGCUGUAGUGGUGGGAGGCGCUGGGAGGCCCUGGGAGAUGAAAGGUCACCUUCCCCGCCCCUAAGCUAUUUACCUGUGGCACAAAAUGAAUUCCAGUGGGCUACCUGUGCAUCAGUAAUGUCCCUUAGGCUCCACCCCAAACCUAAGCUACAUGUAUGCCCCCAUACCACGAGUCGGGCAGAGAAAAAGCCAGACCCUGGAGAUCAUGGAGUUUUUCUCUGAAUUCCUAAAAUAAAGGCCUUUUUUAAUCUCA